AUCAAAUUGAAAAAAAAAACUUGUGUUCAGACAAAACGCGUGUUUCCAAGCCCGGUGGAUUUUUGUGGGAUUUGUUUUUGACUUCCUUAAUUAUUUAUUUUUUAUUUCAAUAUUUUCAUUUGAAUCACUUUACUUUUAUCGUUUAUAUUGUUCGUGUUGUUAAUUAUAAUGGAUGAAAACCAAACAUUACAAUUUAUUGAAACAGAGAAAGUGGCUAAAAUUGUAUGGGAC